UACGAAGGGGGCUAGCGUUGUUCGGAGUUACUGGGCGUAAAGGGCGCGUAGGCGGCUGUCCAAGUCGGGUGUGAAAGCCCAGGGCUCAACCCUGGAUGUGCACUCGAGACUGGCCGGCUAGAGGAUGGGAGAGGAUGGUGGAAUUCCCAGUGUAGAGGUGAAAUUCGUAGAUAUUGGGAAGAACACCGGUGGCGAAGGCGGCCAUCUGGACCAUUUCUGACGCUGAGGCGCGAAAGCUAGGGGAGCAAACAGG
rnacentral:rRNA from 1 species